GGGCGAAUGGUUUAGUGGUAUAAUACUCCCUUAGCAGCUGUUCGACGGCCGACGGGAUCAUGGGAGUGGUCCGGGGUUCGAUUCCCCGUUUGUCCA